GAUGAACGCUAGCGGCAGGCUUAACACAUGCAAGUCGAGGGGCAUCGGGAGGGAAGCUUGCUUUCCUUGCCGGCGACCGGCGCACGGGUGAGUAACACGUAUGCAACCUGCCCUCUUCAGGGGGACAACCUUCCGAAAGGGAGGCUAAUCCCGCGUAUAUCGGUUUCGGGCAUCCGAGAUCGAGGAAAGAUUCAUCGGAAGAGGAUGGGCAUGCGGCGCAUUAGCUUGACGGCGGGGUAACGGCCCACCGUGGCGACGAUGCGUAGGGGUUCUGAGAGGAAGGUCCCCCACACUGGUACUGAGACACGGACCAGACUCCUACGGGGGGCAGCAGUGAGGAAUAUUGGUCAAUGGGAGAGAUCCUGAACCAGCCAAGCCGCGUGAGGGAAGACGGCCCUAUGGGUUGUAAACCUCUUUUGUCGGAGAACAAAACCCGGGACGUGUCCCGGACUGCGUGUAUCCGAAGAAAAAGCAUCGCCUAACUCCGUGCCAGCAGCCGCGGUAAUACGGAGGAUGCGAGCGUUAUCCGGAUUUAUUGGGUUUAAAGGGUGCGUAGGCGGUCCGUUAAGUCAGCGGUAAAAUUGCGGGGCUCAACCCCGUCGAGCCGUUGAAACUGGCAGACUUGAGUUGGCGAGAAGUACGCGGAAUGCGCGGUGUAGCGGUGAAAUGCAUAGAUAUCACGCAGAACUCCGAUUGCGAAGGCAGCGUACCGGCGCCAGACUGACGCUGAGGCACGAAAGCGUGGGGAUCGAACAGGAUUAGAUACCCUGGUAGUCCACGCAGUAAACGAUGAAUGCUGGUUGUCCGGGUCGAAUGAGAUCUGGGCGGCGAAGCGAAAGCGAUAAGCAUUCCACCUGGGGAGUACGCCGGCAACGGUGAAACUCAAAGGAAUUGACGGGGGCCCGCACAAGCGGAGGAACAUGUGGUUUAAUUCGAUGAUACGCGAGGAACCUUACCCGGGCUCAAACGGGAGUGGAAUGGACCAGAGACGGUUCAGCCUACGGGCCGCUUCCGAGGUGCUGCAUGGUUGUCGUCAGCUCGUGCCGUGGGGUGUCGGCUUAAGUGCCAUAACGAGCGCAACCCCCGCCGGCAGUUGCUAACGGGCAAUGCCGAGGACUCUGCCGGGACUGCCGCCGCAAGGCGAGAGGAAGGCGGGGAUGACGUCAAAUCAGUACGGCCCUUACGUCCGGGGCGACACACGUGUUACAAUGGGCGGUACAGCGGGAAGCCAGGCGGCGACGCCGAGCGGAACCCGAAAGCCGUUCUCAGUUCGGAUCGGAGUCUGCAACCCGACUCCGUGAAGCUGGAUUCGCUAGUAAUCGCGCAUCAGCCAUGGCGCGGUGAAUACGUUCCCGGGCCUUGUACACACCGCCCGUCAAGCCAUGGGAGCCGGGGGUGCUUGAAGUGCGUCGCCGCGAGGCGCGCCCUAGAGCAAAACCGGUGACUGGGGCU
rnacentral:rRNA from 1 species